GCAGGACGGAGCAGCCCAGCAUGCGUUGAUUAACUUUACAGCUCAGUGUAGGGAGGGGCGAGUCCUGGGACAGGGUAACUCAGCACAGGUUGGGGCAGGGCAGGUUAUCUCAGUAGGGUGGAGGAAGGGCUCUGCAGGCAUUUCAGUCCCUCAGGGGAAGUCUCCACUUCCUGGACUCACUGGAAUUGGCCUCCCUGACCGACCUGACUCAAUUCACCCAUCUAUACUGACUGCCUGUCUAGCUCUGGCUUCGAAAGGGAGCCAACUCCACCAAAAUGUGGGCUCCACUCGAAUUGGCAGGUGAGGAGGUCUCUAGUACUGGACCUCCACAAUACCACCAGCACCUGCCAAGCUAGAGAAAGUGCCACGUGAUUAGACAUCUCCUGAAAGGACAGGCUCUCACUGCAUCAGAUAUAUUUCCCAGGAAACCAACUGCCCCCACCUACCCACACCCUAGAGAGACAGGACGUGUAACUGGCUCCAAGGGAAGGAGGUUGGAUGGUCUUUGGGGACACUUGCCUUGGGCCCUUAGAUACCAGGAACAACAACGAUAGGGUCCUGCAAGAUUCAUUUCCCCAAGUUGUCUUCCUGAAAGAGGGAUCUCAUAGAGCUCAUGCCCAUGGGUCUGAGGUCCAUCCAGGGGGGGCCUCCCGAGUCUCCAGGCUCCCUGUUGAGCAACAGAACAAUUGCCUUUAUUUCAUGCAUGAACAGAACUUUUAACUCCUUCCAUCCGGGCUUUUGCCUCAUGUAGCCAAUUUCUACUUUAAAAGUUAGUUGUAAAUCUCUGACUUCUAAGAUACCCAUAGUGACAUCAUGAUUAAAUCUCCAGACAUUAAUUUCCCCAGAAUCUGCUGGACAGUGAUAUUGGUUUGCCCCAGAUAAUCUCCCUAGUUAUGUAGGUCUCCACAGGGGACAGCCUGACAGGCUUCAACUUAACCCAGAGGCAGGUGGUCCAGGUUACAUUAAUGAUCAACUUACAGGAUGGGAUUUUCCACGUCACUAUGAUGCCAUUAGAGUCCUGUCAAGGUUGAUGGGGUGGGCUCUGGGGGUGGACUGAGGUCACUACUUCCCCCGUGGAAGCUGAGGCUCCUGUGCUCCUGCACAGAGGCCAACUCUGUCCUGCGAUCCAAAGGGCCAUCUCGGUCGUGAGCAGGACUUGGCAGGGCCCUUCCCAAGCAGGGUCCAGCCGGUUUUCCUCCCAGACCUGGAUCAGGAUGUGGUCACCUGGCUGAUGUGACUGUGCAGGAAACCCCAGAGGUGGAGCCUGCACCAGGAGGCCCUGCAACCUUAGGGAGGACAAAGCAGAGGAGACCCAAUGUGUACUUCUAGGAAACUGAGCCUUCGUUUCAAAGGUGGGGAAACCGUUGUGUUCCUGGAUAUGGCCACCCAGGGAACAGCUCAUGUGGGGACAGCCUCCAACUCUCCAGGGAGAGGUUCUAAGUCAGAGGAGGGCAGUGGGGGGUGUCCAAUCCAGGGGGGGCUUUGUCUCCAAUAUCAGCUUAGUGGUUCUUCUCUUGAGAGUUUGGUUCUUUCUCUCCACCUUUCCCGAGGAAGGAGGGUGCCAGGGGUGUGAUAUUCCCAUGUUAUAUUGAAGGUUUUCUUGAGUUCUUUAAUAAUGGUGAAAUGGCCUCCAUUAUCUGAAUCUGUGUUCUUCUUCAAACCAAGUCAAGGGAUUGCAGAUUCCAACAAGACCUUGGCCAUGUUGUUGGGAGUGGUGCUAGGCAGGGGGAUGGCGUCUACCCAGCUGGUUAAAUGCUCUACUAUUUGUGGAGAGCAGUAACAGUGAGAGAGCAGUGUCUGAAAUUGGGGUCCCUGAUGACUUCAUGGCUGUGGCAGGCUCGGUGCCUGGGGAAGGGUCUGUGCAAAGGUGCAGGAUGCCCAGUUGCUAUGGUAAUGCCUCCAGGAAGGGGCUCUGUGCUAGAGUUUUAUCAGCCUUGACCUUGACCUCGAGCACACAGCUCCUGAGAAUAAAGAAAUUCUCUUGCUAAGACAACAACAACAUUUCACUGGCUCUGCUGCUCCUGAACCUGCCCCAUAACAGUAACUUUAAACAAUGGACUUUCUUGAGAGCUACACAAAGCUCCUAACAUUGCACAUUGUAGCUGUAGUAUGUAACUGAGGAAUGAGCUGCUUAGUGUUGCUAACUCUGCAACUUUCAGGAAUAUAAAGAAAAAUGCUUGCAUUGUCUUUAAUCUGAUCAAUGAGACACAUAUAAUAAAGAUUGCUGGCAUAAUUCUUUAGAGCUGCUUCUCCAUCGGAGAGCAGCCCUCCACCC
rnacentral:lncRNA from 1 species